rnacentral:rRNA from 1 species
UGCCACGGUGACGUAACGGGGGACGGUUCGCAAGGGUGGGGGGUGAAACCCGCUAAUGAUCCUUCCGUAGGUGAACCUGCGGAGGGAUCAUUAGCGAGUUUUCAACUCCCAACCCUUGCGAACCGUACCCCCGUUCCGUUCUCGUUGCUUCUGGCGGGAGGGGAGGGGCGCGCCCUUCGGGGCGCGCCUCUCUCCCCCAGGUCCCUGCGGGGCGCCCGCCAGCGGCCGCGAGCCGCUCGAACCUUUUUUUUAAACCGUAACGAACCGUCUGAGAAACAAACAAAAACAGCCAAAACUUUCAACAACGGAUCUCUUGGCUCUGGCAUCGAUGAAGAACGCAGCGAAAUGCGAUACGUAAUGCGAAUUGCAGAAUUCAGCGAGUCAUCGAAUCUUUGAACGCACAUUGCGCCCGCCAGCAUUCUGGCGGGCAUGCCUGUCCGAGCGUCAUUUCCCCCCUCAGCGCAACCUUCUGGGUGCGCUGGCGUUGGGGCUCCUCCGCCCUCUGUGGCGGCAGGGCCCUCAAAACCAGUGGCGGGCCCGUCUGGCUGGCUCCGAGCGCAGUACCGAACGCAAGUUCUCACUCUCGCUUCGUAGCUCCCGGCCGGCGCCCAGCCGUCAAGCCGCGCAGGCGACUCUUUCAGGGCCGCCUCGCACUUUUUUACAAGGUUGACCUCGGAUCAGGUAGGACUACCCGCUGAACUUAAGCAUAUCAAUAAGCG